UCCAUUGCCAAUGAACUCCAUGAACCC
rnacentral:piRNA from 1 species